rnacentral:tRNA from 1 species
CGGGAUGUAGGGUAGCGGCUGACCCACGUGCCCUGGGAGCACGGAGACGCAGGUUCGAGUCCUGCCAUCCCGA